GAGAAAUAAACUAAUUUUAAAUAUUGAUAAAUCUUAGUCUUGAAAUGACUAUACAGAAGGACUACAUCCCCCAUCAGACCCUACAUGUCACAUGACCUAGUUGCAUGUCCCUGAUCACUCACAGCUGUUCUGUCUCACCCUUGAUUAACACAUGUAUUUAAGUCUCACCUUGCAAGACACUAUUAGUCUCAGCUUGUUCUGCAUGGUUGGGUUUUUUUUAAACGUUCUUGCAAAAGUUCAUGUACUUCAUGGUUUCAUGUUUUCAUGUGUUCUGGUGUUUUAUAUUUGCACUUAGUUAUGUUCAUCACAUUAUUAUUUAUCUGCAUUUGUUCUCAUCUACUUACAUGAAAAAGAUUGUGCCAACGUUCUCACAGAGCAUCCCUACGCAAAACAAAGAAAAAAAAAACCACCACAAGCUUUUAUCUGGACUCUCUACCGUAGCUGCUGGAGUUGGACAUGAAUAACUUUACUACUUUCUCCCAUUUGAUAUCACAACUGUAAUCUGUCCAUAACAUCACCAGGAAGCAAUCCUAUACAAGACCCACAGAGUGAUCAAGGAAUCAAGCAGUUUUUGGAGAUUGAAUUCCAUGACACAGCUUGAAGGUAUUGUGAUCUAUGAAAUCUGGGUGUAACCCCUAAAGACCCCAACCUCAGAUCCAGUUUCCAGAAACCAGGGAUUUUCUGUUUUAGGAUAAAGCCACAGAGCAGGGUGUGGGAGCAGUGUUAUGAACACCCAACAAACCACCCGGAGAAAAAAAAAAAAGAAAAACAGAAAAAACCUGAUGAUUUCUGUAUAUUCAAACCUACAGAAAUAUGGAUUUAUCAUCAGUGCCCCAAAAUCUCAAGUGAAUGACUGCCAAAAAAGAAACUAAUCCCCUUCAGGUUGAGCAGUAUUUACGAGCACUGACAUCAAAUCAGAAUAUCUGAGUGUUUUGAAGGUUUGUCCUCUUCACUAGAGUGCUGUCCAACACAAGGUCCAGUUAUGUUACUUGCACCACAGACAGAAAGCAUUGAAACAGCAGUCACACUGAAUGGAAUGCUAAAUCUUUAUAGCUUCAUGGCAACUAAUUACCAAGUGCUAAUCAUGAAAACGGUCCUUACCUACUAUAUACCCACAAUGCCUCUCACCUCUCUCUCUCUCUCUCUUAUGCUGCAUUGUGAAAAUAAAUAUCCACUUCAGA